GUUCAUUGGUCAGACGUUUUCAAUAAUCGUGUCAGUGUUGUGGGGAACAAUUAACACGUCUGUCAACUUUUCUUGACGAGAUUAGGCCACAGUGCCCCGAGGCUCCGUUCCUUGCCGUCCAAAGAGGUUGAGGUCCGUUUUAAAGUAAACAAACGACGUUUGCAUGUCUGAUUGUCAUCCAAAUCAAUGGAUAUCUUCCCUUGUCAUGCAGUGUGGAAAUAUUCCUCUGGAAUGUCUUAUCCAGCCUGUGAAGGUGUCUGCUGUGAAGUCCUCCUCAUGCUGUUGCAUCCAUGGCAGCCAGCGGCAGCGUCGGACUAUGUGGCUGGCGAUCGUAAAAACCUCCCACCCUCAAAACUCCUUAUAGCCUUGUUUGCAGAAUGUGCCCGGUGCUUGGAAACGCACACUGUCCCAGAUUACCACCUUAUUUUGGUUAAUCAUCACCAAAUCAGACCCCUCGCACUACCAGGGAUGAGAUCCCACAUAGAGUGUGUCUGAGAAUGUGAGCAGAUUCACUGUGAUACGUGGGCGUUCAUGGCCCUGUAAUAGGAAUAGGAGCAUAACUAACUCUGAAAUAGCAUCACACACAGCGGCGCUCCCUGCUCAUCGACCUAGCUAGUGGCAGACACAUCAACAGUAGCUCUGUGGCUGAUGAGAUUUCAAUCGUGCCUUCUAGCAAGAAUCAUCCAGGUUUAAGUCAUGUGCCGGUUCACUUGAUUCAAGUUCCAUUAUGUCCUAUAUCUUAGACAAUAGUAAAUU